ensembl:lncRNA
CAAGUAACAAUACUGAAGUGGGUUGCCAUUUCCUCCUCCAGGGGAUCUUCCCGACCCAGGGACUGAACCUUCGUCUCUUGCAUCAACAGAUGGAUUCUUUACCACUGAGCCAUCUGGGAAGCCCACAUGGGUGGAUGGGGAUAUUUAAAAAUGCAUCAGUGAGUCCGAUGACGUGAUGUCUAAAAGGCUGAAGCCCUCCAGGCUCCUCUGUCCAUGGGAUUUUCCAGUUCCACCCAGAGUCAUAUGGAGAAGGGAAACUACAGCUAGAACCAGGACAUGGGAAAGAGCAGGGCGCUGUCCAUCACACACAAGGAUGUUGCUUAGCAGCUGGCCCAAGCCUGCGGAUCUUCCUCGAAACUCCAGAGAACACCGCCUGCCAUUCUGGGAGGAGUGAAGUCAGCCAUUCUUCCCAUCACUUUGCAUACCACCUGGCACAGAGGUCGUGCAUGCUGCUCCCUCACAAAUAUGCUGAUGAAUGGCUCAAGGUCUCCAGGUCCAGUCACACCAGUGCUAUUCUCCUCCUCCACCUCCCCAUCCCCACCCCCGGGGGUCAAGGUGAACACAUUCCUGCGGCAACAGUCUGGAUAGUAGAAAUAAGAUUGAUUCAGAUAAAAUUCAAGUUAUUGCCAUUGACUGAUGGUAAUACUUUCAGUUAACUAGAGUCUGGAAACACAAAAAGAUAAAAAUCUUAGGUGUAGCCUCAUAAAUCUUUAAACCAUGUAGCCCUCCUCAACAGCAAACUCUUCUUCAACAUAAAGAAACCAUCUGCAUGUCUCAGUGUUAACUAGCUACCCAACCAAGUCCGAGAAAUGAAACAAACAUUGCCCAAGAGCUGAAAGGAAAUGACUAAGGAAGAGUUGAGAAAUGGCUCACGGCAGCAGGAAUGACAACUUAUAAAGGAGGGUGACAUUCCUUACCUCCUCUCUGGGUAGGGCACACAGGACAGCCUAUGAACGGUCAUGAAACACAAACCCAGGUUGGUCUUACUAAGGCCAAUAACAAAGGAAUCUUGGCAGGGAAUCUUGACAGCUAAUACUGUGAGUGAGGCUAAUGACGAAAAUAAUUAGUGAAUACUCUGUCUGUAACUCUUCAUCAGCGCAGUAGGAACCACUGGAAAAAAUAAUAGGCUCAGUUCUCAGAAAGAAAACCUGCACAACCCAGAGAGAUGAAGAAUUAAAAGACAAGAAGGUCUUUUAAAAGGCAGAUAAAUUGAUCCCCUUGCUCAAGUAAAAAGGAUUUGUUGUUUGAAUUAAAAACAAAUAUCUAAAGUAAAUAAAAAGUUUUGAUUAAAGAAAAGAGAUUUUAGA